AUACGUAGGUGACAAGCGUUAUCCGGAUUUACUGGGCGUAAAGGGCGUGUAGGCGGUCUUGCAAGUCAGAAGUGAAAUUCCUGAGCUCAACUCGGGCGCUGCUUCUGAAACUGCAGGACUUGAGUGCUGGAGGGGAUAGCGGAAUUCCUAGUGGAGCGGUAAAAUGCGCAGAUAUUAGGAAGAACACCGGUGGCGAAGGCGGCUAUCUGGACAGUAACUGACGCUGAGGCGCGAAAGCGUGGGGAGCAAACAGGAUUAGAUACCCUGGUAGUCCACGCCGUGAACGAUGAAUACUAGGUGUAGGGGGUAUCGACUCCCUCUGUGCCGCAGUUAACACAAUAAGUAUUCCGCCUGGGGAGUACGGCCGCAAGGUUGAAACUCAAAUGAAUUGACGGGG
rnacentral:rRNA from 1 species